CUGUAGAGAGGAGAACCCAUUCUGCGUUAAUGGGACUGGAUUUUAUGCCUGCCUGCAGAGCACCCAUACUCUGUGCUGGUGCCAGCCCUCGGGUAGCUCUGGGGUGUGGAUGCCUGCAUUGGUGCCCUGGGGGCUGUGCAAAUGGAGUGCCCUACUGGACUGCCCUCUCAAGAGCUGAGUCUGCUGCUGCUCCAGAUGCAGAGAAGAUCACGGACAUGAGAAUAGAAGGGAAGAAUGAGAGCAAAGCAGCCGAGAAGCUGCAGCAAUGACUCUUCGUUUCUUGUGGACAAGGGUAGGACAGGAGCUCAGCCCGCCCCAAGCAGUGGUGAGCAGCCAGCCCUGCGAUGAUAGACCCACAAUGGAAGGGACCCACAGCGGUCAUCGAGUCUGACUCCCGGCCCCACACAGUACAGCCUAAAACCACGCUGCUUUCCAUCUCACGUGGGGCACAGCAGUACCUCCUUGCCUACAUCUCCACCUCUGCUCGCUGCCCUGUGCUGCAUCUCCUCUUGGCAGCAGGUCAAGAAAGCCAUGAGAACAAGGCACCAGGAGCAGAAGAGCUGAAUGUGAUGGUGAAGACCCAUCUCUGGUUUCUGGCUCUAUCUGAAAAGAAGAAAUUCACAUUUCACUCUCUCAUCCUAGAAACAAACCUAGCAUCCCGGAAGGAAAAUGAAUGCCAUUGGGAUUCAUACAUAACCAGUGAAGCUAUGAAAGCUCAACACGGAGCCGAGGCAAAGGAUUGCUGCAGGCUGUGGUUUGGUGCCAUGGAUGGCACAGAGGCUGGGUGAGGGGCAGUCCCAGAGCACCUUCAAUCUGCUCCUGCAGAUGAGAACACUCCAGAUAGCACUGUGGGAUGAAGGGCUUUGCUGCCCACUGCUCCAAGGUGCCCGACCAGCUGCUGGGACAGCCAGGAAGAGAGCCUGCAAGGUGGCCAUUGCUGUGCAGUAGAAGAUUGUCAACCAUUGUUACUGUGGAAACCUUUGAAAAUGUG
ensembl:lncRNA